UUGACCUCGGAUCAGGUAGGAAUACCCGCUGAACUUAAGCAUAUCAAUAAA
rnacentral:rRNA from 2 species